UCCAAACCGCAUUCCAACGGACAGCAGUGAAAAAUUACCCCACACAUACGCACCUCAGGCGUUCCAGCGAAGCAGAAUGAGAAAACGGUGGGGAAAAGGAAAGAUUAGAGCCUCCUCCGAGCAGCCGAGCGGCACCGUCGCGGAGGAGAGGCUGCGCCGCGCAGCCGUGAGGACCGGAGGAGACUACACCACCGGUCCGGGAACCUGUUGCCGUGAACCGCCACGGCGGCAUGGAAGGAGCACCGCUGCGGAUUGGGGAGGAGCGCCGUCGCGGGCCUAGGGAGAGCGCUGCCCGGACCAAGCUCCCUGCUUGACCGAUCAAGGACUCUCGAUUCCGGCCGCCUGCAGCACAUCAGGCCAUCAGCUAACAGAAUGGCAGCACCGGGCAAAGCUAGCGGUAUGCAACAACAGGGAGGCUCUUGAUUUGCUUAUAUCUGGUUCUGCUAUUAAGUUACUGAAGCAAGGCAAGAAGUGCUUUGGCGUGAGUUCUUCCAACGUUGACUGGAGCAAUUGGGCGUGGCUUUGUCGGGCGCCGGGCAUGCUUUGGCAUGACUUCAUUGGACGUCGAGUGAAGCGGCUGGGCAUGGAUUGUCGUGGUAGCUCUGUCGACUUCAAUAUGUUCAAGUCGUGGUGGUUGUCGACUUCAAAUUGAUUGGUGUGUUAUUGUGCGACUGCUUGUACUUGCUUAUAUGGGUUGAGGUCGCUGGAUUUGAGGUGGCCGAGAUGUCUGGAAAUAUGAUCAUGACCUUGUCCUAUUUUAAUUUUUCGGAAUUUUCAUCACGUGGGAUAUGAUAGUUAUCCCUAUUUGUUUAGGUUUGCAUUUCAUUCGUUCUUGUUUUGGAUUUUUCAUUACGGGAGAUACGUAUCCAACAUGGAUCCUUUCCAAACACUUCCAAGUUUUAUCUCAACAUUAAUUGCUUUUUUAAUUGCUUAUAGCACGUAGUACAUGGCAGUGCUUUUUUCCUCCCUUCUUUCCUUUCCUAUUAUGGUAGUGCUUUUUUUUCUCUCCCUUCUUUUCCUUCCUAUUAGGACAUGUAACGCUUACAUCUCGUGUAUGUGCUGGACUAUGAGACGUCCACAUGUAUGUCCGCGUGUAUGUGCUGGACUUUGAGACAUGCACAUGUAUGUGCUGGACUUAGUCGUAGUUUAUAUACUUCCAACUUUUUAUUCCUACACCUUGUACG